GAUGAACGCUGACAGAAUGCUUAACACAUGCAAGUCUACUUGAAUUUGGGUUUUUUAACUUAGAUUUGGGUGGCGGACGGGUGAGUAACGCGUAAAGAACUUGCCUCACAGCUAGGGACAACAUUUGGAAACGAAUGCUAAUACCUGAUAUUAUGAUUAUAAGGCAUCUUAGAAUUAUGAAAGCUAUAUGCGCUGUGAGAGAGCUUUGCGUCCCAUUAGCUAGUUGGAGAGGUAACGGCUCACCAAGGCGAUGAUGGGUAGCCGGCCUGAGAGGGUGAACGGCCACAAGGGGACUGAGACACGGCCCUUACUCCUACGGGAGGCAGCAGUGGGGAAUAUGGGACAAUGGACCAAGAGUCUGAUCCAGCAAUUCUGUGUGCACGAUGACGUUUUUCGGAAUGUAAAGUGCUUUCAGUUGGGAAGAAAAAAAUGACGGUACCAACAGAAGAAGUGACGGCUAAAUACGUG
rnacentral:rRNA from 1 species